UACAGAGGCCACAAGCGUUAGGCGGAAUCACUGGGCUUAAAGCGUGUGUAGGCGGGUUGGUAAGUACCUUGUGAAAUCCCACGGCUUAACCGUGGAAUUGCUUGGUAUACUGCCGAUCUUGAGUCAUCUAGGGGCAACCGGAACAGAUGGUGGAGCGGUGAAAUGCAUAGAUAUCAUCUGGAACGCCAAUGGUGCAGACAGGUUGCUGGGGAUGUACUGACGCUGAGGCACGAAAGCCAGGGGAGCAAACGGG
rnacentral:rRNA from 1 species